CUGUCCGUGGUGGUGUCAAGACGUUUGGUUAUCGUUUAUUACCGGUGUUGACCUUACGCAGCCCAGGUAAAGAAAUGAGAAAGACGACUAUGCGUAUUUCUGUUACAACGUUUCGACCCUUGUUGGGGUCAUCUUCAGAUAAAAAAUGUGAAUCAUAUUUAGUAGUCAAUAGUCAGAUUGCGUAAAAUGCGAAAGUCAUAUGUGACUCCUGAGAGAUACCUUCCACCAGAGAGAACAGCACAAUGAAAAAGCAGCCCAUAAUUGGUUUAUUAAAGAAAUAGCCCAUGGAAGAACUACCAUCGAAGAAAAACGAGUUAAGGAACCAUGUUUAAUUAUUUAUAAAUUAUUAUUUGUAAGAUUGAAAUUAUUAAAAAUAAAAAGCAGAAUUGAAAUUCUUUACUUACGGAAAAUGGAAUGGACAAAAGAAGAAAGAAGAUUUGAGCGAGAAACAGUAACGAAAUCAGUCCUCCGUAACGAAAAGCCAAACGUGUGAAAUUUAAUUAAGUGACAAUAGGCUUAUGGUCGUUAGGAGAGUGUAAAGUUAACUAAUGUCACUUAAUGUAAACAAAGGUAGAAGUUAAAGUAUUUAAACUAAAAAAUAUGUAAUAUUGUAAAAUUUAUAAGCGAUACUGUCUAUAUGUAAAAUAGAAGUUGUGUCUUUUAUUUAUUAAGUAUAUUAUGAUAUACAUAUUGUAACGUAUACAUCCGAGGAUAUUCGUAUCGCGGUAAUGAUAAGAUCCCGCUAACCCGAAUAACCCUAAAUAUCAAGUAAUAAC